GUCCCGUCCCUUCCCCGCCCUGGUGCCCCGGGUCCUGCGGGAACAUCCCCGCCAUCGCCCCUCCUCCUCCUCCACUCGGCUUCCUCCGCCCUCCCUCCCUUCCUGGUCGCCGCCGCAGGCGCCUGAAGGGCACGGCGGCUCCUCCGUGCCCGGCAAGCUCGGGAGCGGCCGCGAGUUGAGGUAACUCGCCCGCUGCCCCGGCGGCCUGCCCGCCGGCGGCUCCCACACGCCAGCGCCGCCCCGCCCUCCCCGGAGCCGCCGGGCGCGCUCGCUCACCGUCCGGUGGUGCUGCUGCUGCCGGUGGCGGCUGACGCCCAGCCCGGGGAAGCAGCCGGCAGUCAGCGCUCCGCAGCCGCCGCCGCCCCCGCCGCCGCCCCGGGAGGAGAGGAGCAGCAGGAGCGAUCUACCUGCGGCGGCCGCCAUCUCUCAACUGGAAACGGCGCCGACCCAGGCAGCGCAGCGGACGGCCGGGGCGGAGCUAAGACCCGCCACUCACCGUCGCCGGGCCAACUGCCGCCCUUGGCUGAGUUGGUGAGGCGGAGCUUCCUGCAAGGCCCAAUCGACAGGCGGGAGAACCACACUUGAGGCUGCCUGUCACUUGCAGAGUUACCUAUUGUGGGACAUAGUCAAUUACGGGCAAAUUCUAAGGAACCGGUAAUUGGCACCCGAGCCCCUCAGAAUAGCAGCACUAGAGAUGGCAUAUUCGAUUUGGCUAAUCUUCACCAAGGAUAAAGCUAUGAUAAAGCAACCAAUAGAUGGUGAGAGUGGAAACAUCAAGAUAUUCUUUCAGGCUUACCUCUUAACUCAGGCAAAUGAAACCCGAAACCACCCAUCAGGUGAUGGUAACCGCCCUGAACUGACCUCCACUUGGCUCAGAACACCCAGGCCAUUGGAGCUAAACCCCUGACUCAUGCCUGUGCACGUGGACAAUGGAGUGACCCCUGGAAUGACUGGCAAUUGCCUUUAUCUCAUUAUAUUACUAAAAUCCCCACCCAAGGAGAAGCAUCAGCUUCAUUUCCGUAACAUACAAUGUACAUAUAGGCGUGUUUCCUUAAGGGGCAUGUGUGACUGUAUGCCUGCCUCUACAUGCCAGGACAAGGCUUCCUUAUCUAAAUAUCCAUCCAAACUCCAAACAGAAGUUACCCAUUCAUGCUCUCUCCAGCAGUCCUGGCUUCUUAUGUGCUGCAAAUAAAAGUUUUCUUUGUGCAA